rnacentral:rRNA from 1 species
GACGAACGCUGGCGGCGUGCUUAACACAUGCAAGUCGAACGAUGAACCCGGAGCUUGCUCCGGUGGAUUAGUGGCGAACGGGUGAGUAACACGUGAGUAACCUGCCCUUGACUCUGGGAUAACUGCGGGAAACUGUAGCUAAUACCGGAUACGACCCUCGGCGGCAUCGCCAGGGGGUGGAAAGAAUUUCGGUCAAGGAUGGACUCGCGGCCUAUCAGCUAGUUGGUGAGGUAACGGCUCACCAAGGCGACGACGGGUAGCCGGCCUGAGAGGGUGACCGGCCACACUGGGACUGAGACACGGCCCAGACUCCUACGGGAGGCAGCAGUGGGGAAUAUUGCACAAUGGGCGCAAGCCUGAUGCAGCAACGCCGCGUGAGGGAUGACGGCCUUCGGGUUGUAAACCACUGUUGGAGGGGAAGACAUCGACGGUACCCUCCGAGAAAGCCCCGGCUAACUACGUGCCAGCCGCCGCCGUAA